rnacentral:rRNA from 1 species
GCUACGGGAGGCAGCAGUGAGGAAUAUUGGUCAAUGGACGAGAGUCUGAACCAGCCAAGUAGCGUGAAGGAUGACUGCCCUAUGGGUUGUAAACUUCUUUUAUAAAGGAAUAAAACGAGGCACGUGUGCCUUUUUGCAUGUACUUUAUGAAUAAGGAUCGGCUAACUCCGUGCCAGCAGCCGCGGUAAUACGGAGGAUCCGAGCGUUAUCCGGAUUUAUUGGGUUUAAAGGGAGCGUAGAUGGGUUGUUAAGUCAGUUGUGAAAGUUUGCGGCUCAACCGUAAAAUUGCAAUUGAUACUGGCAGCCGUGAGUACAGUUGAGGGAGGCGGAAUUCGUGGUGUAGCGGUGAAAUGCUUAGAUAUCACGAAGAACUCCGAUUGCGAAGGCAGCUUUCUAAACUGCCACUGACAUUGAUGCUCGAAAGUGUGGGUAUCAAACAGGAUUAGAUACCCGUGUAGUC